GAUGAACGCUAGCUACAGGCUUAACACAUGCAAGUCGCGGGGCAGCAUGGGGGUUGCUUGCAAUCCCCGAUGGCGACCGGCGCACGGGUGAGUAACGCGUAUCCAACCUGCCCUUCACCACGGGAUAACCCGGCGAAAGUCGGACUAAUACCGUAUGUUGUCCAUUGACGGCCUCCGAUUUGGACGAAAGGUUUGGCGGUGAAGGAUGGGGAUGCGUCCGAUUAGCUGGACGGCGGGGUGACGGCCCACCGUGGCGACGAUCGGUAGGGGUUCUGAGAGGAAGGUCCCCCACACUGGAACUGAGACACGGCCCAGACUCCUACGGGAGGCAGCAGUGAGGAAUAUUGGUCAAUGGGCGUAAGCCUGAACCAGCCAAGUAGCGUGCAGGAUGACGGCCCUAUGGGUCGUAAACUGCUUUUAUGCGGGGAUAAAGUGGCCCACGUGUGGGUUUUUGCAGGUACCGCAUGAAUAAGGACCGGCUAAUUCCGUG
rnacentral:rRNA from 1 species